rnacentral:rRNA from 1 species
UGAUGGAUUUAUAAAGUCUAGCCUGCCCACUGAGUUUUUAAAGGGCCGCGGUAAUUUGACCGUGCGAAGGUAGCAUAGUAAGUAGUCUUUUAAUUGAAGACUUGAAUGAAUGGUUGGAUGAGAGGUAAGCUGUCUUUUAACAAUUUAUAAAAUUUAACUUUUAAGUGAAAAGGCUUAAAUUAAUUAAGGGGACGAUAAGACCCUAUAAAACUUUACACGAAAUGCUGAAGUUUAUAGAUUGUGUGUGAUAUAAUUUUAGUAUUUUUUGUUUUGUUGGGGCGACAUGGAUAAAGAGUAACUGUCUAUUAAAAUUUAAUAAUAAUGAUUAGUUUGUGAUCCUUUAUUAGGGAUUAGAAGAAUAAGUUACUUUAGGGAUAACAGCGUGAUUUUUCCUGAGAGUUCUUAUCGACGGAAGUAGUUGCGACCUCGAUGUUGAAUUAAAAUUUCGGUUAGGUGUAGCCGCUUAAUUAGUGGGUCUGUUCGACCUUUAAAAUUUUACAUGAUUUGAGUUCAAACCGGUGUGAGCCA